GAUGAACGCUGGCGGCGUGCCUAAUACAUGCAAGUCGAGCGAACGGACGAGAAGCUUGCUUCUCUGAUGUUAGCGGCGGACGGGUGAGUAACACGUGGAUAACCUACCUAUAAGACUGGGAUAACUUCGGGAAACCGGAGCUAAUACCGGAUAAUAUUUUGAACCGCAUGGUUCAAAAGUGAAAGACGGUCUUGCUGUCACUUAUAGAUGGAUCCGCGCUGCAUUAGCUAGUUGGUAAGGUAACGGCUUACCAAGGCAACGAUGCAUAGCCGACCUGAGAGGGUGAUCGGCCACACUGGAACUGAGACACGGUCCAGACUCCUACGGGAGGCAGCAGUAGGGAAUCUUCCGCAAUGGGCGAAAGCCUGACGGAGCAACGCCGCGUGAGUGAUGAAGGUCUUCGGAUCGUAAAACUCUGUUAUUAGGGAAGAACAUAUGUGUAAGUAACUGUGCACAUCUUGACGGUACCUAAUCAGAAAGCCACGGCUAACUACGUGCCAGCAGCCGCGGUAAUACGUAGGUGGCAAGCGUUAUCCGGAAUUAUUGGGCGUAAAGCGCGCGUAGGCGGUUUUUUAAGUCUGAUGUGAAAGCCCACGGCUCAACCGUGGAGGGUCAUUGGAAACUGGAAAACUUGAGUGCAGAAGAGGAAAGUGGAAUUCCAUGUGUAGCGGUGAAAUGCGCAGCGAUAUGGAGGAACACCAGUGGCGAAGGCGACUUUCUGGUCUGUAACUGACGCUGAUGUGCGAAAGCGUGGGGAUCAAACAGGAUUAGAUACCCUGGUAGUCCACGCCGUAAACGAUGAGUGCUAAGUGUUAGGGGGUUUCCGCCCCUUAGUGCUGCAGCUAACGCAUUAAGCACUCCGCCUGGGGAGUACGACCGCAAGGUUGAAACUCAAAGGAAUUGACGGGGACCCGCACAAGCGGUGGAGCAUGUGGUUUAAUUCGAAGCAACGCGAAGAACCUUACCAAAUCUUGACAUCCUUUGACAACUCUAGAGAUAGAGCCUUCCCCUUCGGGGGACAAAGUGACAGGUGGUGCAUGGUUGUCGUCAGCUCGUGUCGUGAGAUGUUGGGUUAAGUCCCGCAACGAGCGCAACCCUUAAGCUUAGUUGCCAUCAUUAAGUUGGGCACUCUAAGUUGACUGCCGGUGACAAACCGGAGGAAGGUGGGGAUGACGUCAAAUCAUCAUGCCCCUUAUGAUUUGGGCUACACACGUGCUACAAUGGACAAUACAAAGGGCAGCGAAACCGCGAGGUCAAGCAAAUCCCAUAAAGUUGUUCUCAGUUCGGAUUGUAGUCUGCAACUCGACUACAUGAAGCUGGAAUCGCUAGUAAUCGUAGAUCAGCAUGCUACGGUGAAUACGUUCCCGGGUCU
rnacentral:rRNA from 1 species